rnacentral:rRNA from 1 species
UACGUAGGGUGCAAGCGUUGUCCGGAAUUAUUGGGCGUAAAGAGCUCGUAGGCGGUUCGUCGCGUCGGCUGUGAAAACCCGGAGCUCAACUCCGGGCCUGCAGUCGAUACGGGCGGACUUGAGUGUUGCAGGGGAGACUGGAAUUCCUGGUGUAGCGGUGGAAUGCGCAGAUAUCAGGAGGAACACCGAUGGCGAAGGCAGGUCUCUGGGCCGAUACUGACGCUGAGGAGCGAAAGCGUGGGGAGCGAACAGG